rnacentral:lncRNA from 10 species
CUGAGAUGGGUGAAUAGAGGGAGGGGCAGCAGAAAUGCAACGGUCUCAGGGGAAGAAGGAGACUUCCCAAGACUGGGAAGGGAAGGGGAGAGGAGGUGAGGGGGGUCUAUGCCUGGGGAGACCGUUUCCCUAGGGCACUGUCGCCCAGCAGCACUGGCCUCCCCCAGUCUCAGGGACUCCAGGUGCUGCCAAGUUCUCCAGCCUCAGCUCAGCCAGAGGCUGCAGAUCCACCCUGUCUAGGGGUCAGCAGCCUCUGACAAUGAGCACUUAAAGGUAGACAGUGUGAACUGAAGACCAGCCAGCUCCUGGAAUGUUCGUUCCACCUGGGGCAAGACCCUGAGUCUUUACAUUACCUGGAGGCAGUGGGGCAGGACUGGCUGUGUGAUUUGUAAGGCCCAGGGCAGAAUGAAAACGGGGAGCCUCUGGUUCAGAACAAUGGAGGACUUCCAGGCCGGGGCAGCAGAGCCUCACAGCAAGGCGGCACUCUGAGCUCAGGGCCUGUGGGGCUGCCCGGCACUUCCCUGUGGGAAAUCAAGUUUCAUUUGACUUAGAAAAACAGUUAAGUGAUGCCUCCUGCCCUCACUGGGGUGUCCUUUUUACCCCGGGCACUUCUCCUGGGCUCCUGCGCUCCUGGCGCUGAGGUAAGAGGAGACACACGCAACCUUGCUGGCCUGGCCAGGAGGAGCCCACAGCCGUCAUUUCAGACAGAGGAACCUGAGCCGGACGUGAACCUGGGUUCAGACACUGCCGUUGCUGUGGGUGAGCGGCUGUUCUGCCUGUGGAGCAGCAUCGGGUGGGUGGUUGCCUGGCACCGUGACUGUUAGGAGAACUUCUGCAUGGCCGGGGUGUACUUUAUGGGGGGUGCGGCCCCCUGUAAUCGCUCUGCAGUCUGGGCACCCUGUGAUGGGGGCCUGGUCCUCAUCUGCGGCUGCCUCGGCUGGCUCCGAUGUGAGGUGAGGAGUUAACCCCUGCCCUAGGCUCCCUUGCUCCUCUUGCCACCCGCCUCCCCACCACUAGCCCCUGACUGCCUCCCUGCUGUCACCAGGGUCCCUUUGCUUUGUGCUGGGGGGACCUGCCACCUCCCCCUCCCCUAUGUGCCCCAUCUGAAGGCGUCCCGUGGGUCCCCAGGUGUAAUCGUGCAGGAGCCUUCCCCAGCGCACAUCCCUGAGUCUGCGGGCCAGGGCCUGUCCUCCUGGCCGCCAUUGGCCAGAGGCGUCCCAGGGCUGUCCUGGGAAUGUCUCUGGAACAGCAGGUCCUUCCAGUGCUGGGUUCCAUCCUGCAGCGUGGUUAAUGGGCAUGUAGAAGGCACAAUGUGCCCAGCUGCUGCCCAGGACAGAGUGGACAUGGCCUGCCUGGGAGCUGAUUCUCUUCUGGGAAUGCGGGAUGCAGAGAAGUACCAUGGGGAACGGCGGACAGCAUGCUGGCCGCAGGCCACUGACUAGCUUAUCUCCUGUAGCUGCCUGGUGACAAUUUGACUUUUCCCACAGUUCCUCCCACUGCCCUUCUUGACAAUGGGGUGGGUCACUCUGACCUCUUGAUUGACUUGCACUUUGACCAAAGGGGAACUCCGGGGGAGGCUGGAGGAGCCAGGCCUGGGAUGAAGGCAUCUGUUGAAAGCCGUCUCUGGGUUGCAUUGUCUGAAAGCCAAGAGAUGCCUGAACGAAGGUGGCUUUGUGGGCAUGUGACUUGGGUGGUCAUAUAGACACCUGCACUCUGGAAGGACCCCACGUGCCAAAGGACCCCACACUCCAAAGGACCUCAUGAUUGGUUUAAUGCCUUACUGGUCACUGUUGGUUUAAGGACUCCUUUGAACAGGGCCCUUUCGUUUUCAUCUUGCACUGGGCCCUACAAAUUACACAGCCGGUCCUGGCCCUGAGGUGCCCCCGCCAUGGGUUUCUUACCAACAAUUUGGGAAUGUCUGUUUUCUCCUGAGUGAUGUCCCUUGUCAUGGCCUGCUGUGGGCAGUUCAUUCAUUCUGGUUCAGAGUCGGUCCUGAACCCAGGCUGCAGAGCCCGGAACCUCCUAGUCCACAAAGGGCAGAGGUUCCUCCUGAAGAGGCAGGGAGAGGACAGGGUGUGCUGUGUCCACAUCCUCCUCCCCUCCCUAGACAGCACAAGUCCCCAAAGUGCUUGGGAUGCGAGGGUGGCCAUCCACAGGGACCCCUCGGUGGGGACCACACGUGGUUAGUGCCAGGAUCUGGCCUGGACCUUGGCAUACAUCCCCUCCUGGCCUCCCUGGGGACGGGAGGGACUGACUGUGCCAGGGUUCCCAGGGCUGGGUUCUAAGGGAGCUUUUUAAAACCACUUCCUGGUCCGGAAAGAGGAGGACACCAAUUAAGUGCCUGGCUGAGGCCUGAGACCCAAAUGGCCUUGAGUCCAGUCUUUCACUUAAAGUCCAAGUUUCCAAGAACCUGUCAAAGAUGGUAAGUGAGGACUGACUGAACAUGACUUUUGUGAUAGAAGAGAGGGCGAGGAAGAGAGGGAGAGAGAGAGAAAGGGUUUGUACCGCGUGGAAGGGGAUGAGUCCUAGCCCGAAUCCUAGCUCUGCUGCGGCUGUGGCUCAGGGCCUUGGCUUUCGUCUCUUGAAAGUGGGGCUACUGACAGUUCCUGCCCGAGGGGGUAGUGUGAGGAGGCACGGGGCCUGCGCCCGUGGAAGCUCAGACCCUGUGGUUUCUCUGUUACUUGAAAUAUAGCCAAGUUGGGAUCUUUCCAGAGACCCCUCAAUUCGGGACUUCCUCCAAAGGACACAUCUUCCGACACUGGAAGAAGCUUUCAAAAGAGCUCCCCAAAGGAUCCCAUCCAGGGUGCCGCAUCCCAUUCAGUCGUCAUGUCUCCUAGGCUGCUCUGGUCUGUGACAGUUUCUUACUGUUCCUUGCUUUUGAUGAACUUGACCGCUUUGGGGAGUACAACUCCAAUGUUUUGCGAAAUGCCCUCCGAUCUGAGUAUGUCUGAUGUUUUCAUCAUGGUUAGACCAGGAUGAUGGGUUUCUGUCACGUCGUAUCAGUAGAGGGUACAUGAUACCCACAUGGCCUUGUUUUUACUUUUAAGAAAUUCUGGAAAUGUCAACAAUACUGCAUAUUUCUUAUGGGAUGUGUAUCUGUAUCUCAGCCAUCGUAUGUGGUAAGAUGUUAACAUUGCACUCUCCUGCAAUCUGUCUCACUCAAUCUCAGAGUCGUGGAGGUCCCCACACCAAAGGGACCCCUGUGGUUAACUCUGAGGGAGGGUGGUGGGGACUAGUUAUGGUCCCCUGGAACCUGUGAAUGUGACCGUAUUUGGGAAAAGUGUCUUUGCAAAUAUAGUUUAGGAUCUCAAGAUGAAAUCCCCCUGGAUUCGUGCAGGCCCCAAGUCCAAUGACAAGUGUCCUUAGGAGAGAAGAGAAGAGGAGACACACACAGGAGCAGUCUAUGUGAAGUCGCAGGCAGAGAUUGGAGCAAUGGGGUCGCAAGCCUGGGACAGCUAGAGUCCCCAGAAGCUGGAAGAGCCCAGGAAGGAUCCUCCCCUAUAGCCUCUGGAGGGAGUGUGACUCUGUCUACACCUUCAUUGUGGACUUCUGGCCUCCAGAACUGUGAGAGAAUAAGUUUCAAGCAACGCACUUUUUAGUGACUUGUUACAGUAGACAUGGGAAGCUAAUACAGGCACCAUAAAUUGCUAUUAUUAUUCUUAUUCCACUUGUCCUUCAACCGAAGUGCACAUCCCCAUCUCAGCUGAGUGUAGCACAGCUGGGCUGUGUGCAAAUUCCCCGUGACCAAUGACAGUGCAAUGUUAACAUCUUCCUACACUCAGGGGCCUCUGGCUCUGCCGGCUGCCUUCCUGCAGGCCCUGUCCCUGGCGGGUGUAGCGCCCCCAUCGCUACCUCCCUUGCUACAUGAUCUUUGAGGAAACUUUUCUGACAUCCUGCAAUCUGCCUUGACCAAUUUCCUGGAUGAAAUUAGACCUCGUCACAAACAUUGAACCAUGCAGCUGCCUGAGUUCCUGGAGGCUGUGCCUCCCCCACUGGGUGUUUAGAAAACCGUCAGGCUCGGCCGGGCACGGUGGCUCAU